UAUCCUUAUUAAGAUCCAGUUUUCUAUUUUCUUCUAGGAAUGUUUUGUUCAUCAUCAAUGUUUCUCACCCAGAGAGGGUUAAUAUGUGGCUGAAGCAGAAGAACCAACUCAUUAAAUUAAGUUCUGAAUAACAAGGUCUCAAGAAAGUGAAGGCACAUGAAAGGGCAGCCAGCAAGGAGGUGACCCCCACCUGCUCUGACCUCUGAGGCUUGCAUGAGCAUCCUCCCAACAACRAAUAUUCUAGUGAGGUGUUUAUGGUGUGUUUAUCAGCACUUUGCCUGGCUUUGGUGGACUCCAGACAUUAUACCAAGUAUCCAGUGUUCAUGGCGUCAGUGCAAUUGCAAGUCAUCAAGACAUACUGCUGGAAUAACGUGGCCCAGACUUCAAGAUUCAAGCAAGCAGUGUUUUUAUCCUAGCAAGAGCAGUUCAACUGUGGGUCAGAUGCUGAUGCUCUUAGGAGCAGGACAAGAAGGAACAGUAAAAGUAUGAGAAAAAGAUUCCAUGAGUAGCAAGGAAAAUGCUUCGGAGAAAACAGAAAAACUGAAAUAAGGAAUGCUUUGGAAUUAUAGCCCAUUCRGUGGAGAAAGAAACCAUAUCUAGCUCUGGAACAGGAUGGCCAKAAAUGCUGAUGCUGUGCUCAUCCCAAGUGGUAUGUUGGCACACAGAAGGAAAAGAGCAAGGAGAAGACAAACCCUCAAGAACUUAGCUUGGAUGGACAACAGGGCCUGACUGACUUUUUCCCUGCAUGUGUUGUUUACUGAAUGUAAAUGUUCAAAGCUGUUAAAAAGGAAGAGUAAACUUAGAAUUUAUACAAACUUGCAUGCCAUUCAGAAUAAAAAUGUAAUUUGUUAUUUCUCUCUGUUUAAGCAGAAAAUUAUGCUCUAURCAGAACUUGAUUAACUUGGCAAUUUUUAAUCUUGUUUUCAUUCUGAAUAAAAAUGUAAACAAAAACCACAGAUCUACUUUUACAGAUGAUCAGAUUGAAGCUACAGGAACUUUGUGUGAGUGUGUCAUUUGACUUUAUUACUUUUUAUGUGUGUUUAAUAUGUAAGUUUUGAUCUGUUAGGAAAUU